AGCAUGAAUGCUGAGUCACAUGGUAAGAGUUUGCUUAGUUUUUUGGGAAACUAUCAAGCUGUACUUCAAAGUGACUGAACCAUUUUAUAUUCCCUCCAGCAGC
rnacentral:pre_miRNA from 1 species